rnacentral:rRNA from 1 species
UAGGGAAUAUUGCGCAAUGGGGGAAACCCUGACGCAGCAACGCCGCGUGAGUGAGGAAGGUCUUCGGAUUGUAAAACUCUGUUCUUAGGGAAAAAUGGUCAUGAACCUAAUAGCUCAUGAUUUGAUGGUACCUAAGUAGAAAGCACCGGCUAACUUCGUGCCAGCAGCCGCGGUAAUACGAAGGGUGCAAGCGUUGUUCGGAAUCAUUGGGCGUAAAGCGCGCGCAGGCGGAUUUGCAAGUCAGAUGUGAAAUCUCGGGGCUCAACCCCGAAACUGCGUCUGAAACUGCAAGUCUAGAAUGUCAGAGGGGGUAGGGGAAUUUCACGUGUAGGGGUAAAAUCCGUAGAGAUGUGAAGGAACACCGGAGGCGAAGGCGCCUACCUGGAUGACGAUUGACGCU